CGGGGCGUAGCACAGCUGGCUAGCGCGCCUGCUUUGGGAGCAGGAGGUCGCCGGUUCGAAUCCGGCCGCCCCGA
rnacentral:tRNA from 1 species